CCUACGAGAGGCAGCAGUAGGGAAUCUUCCACAAUGGGCGAAAGUCUGAUGGAGCAACGCCGCGUGGGUGAUGAAGGCCUUCGGAUCGUAAAACCCUGUUGUUAGAGAAGAAAGUGCGUGAGAGUAACUGUUCACGUUUCGACGGUAUCUAACCAGAACGCCACGGCUAACUACGUGCCCGCAGCCGCUGUAAUACGUAGGUGGCAAGCGGUAUCCGGAUUUAUUGGGCGUAAAGGGAACGCAGGCGGUCUUUUAAGUCUGAUGUGAAAGCCUUCGGCUUAACCGGAGUAGUGCAUUGGAAACUGGGAGACUUGAGUGCAGAAGAGGAGAGUGGAACUCCAUGUGUAGCGGUGAAAUGCGUAGAUAUAUGGAAGAACACCAGUGGCGAAGGCAGCUCUCUGGUCUGUAACUGACGCUGAGGUUCGAAAGCGUGGGUAGCAAACAGGAUUAGAUACCCUUGUAGUC
rnacentral:rRNA from 1 species